AAGUCGUAACAAGGUCUCCGUAGGUGAACCUGCGGAGGGAUCAUUAACACGUUUUUAUUAACGUUCCCACCAAACAAAAGGAAACGAAAGAGGAGGAAAGUGAAAACGAUCCAAAUCUUAGCUAAGCUCCCUACCAACGUACGUGUACAGAAGUAGGCUAUUCUUUUAUUAACCCCUUUCCAACUAGAUUUUGAGAUUCUCUCAAGAUCGACUAACUUGCCCUGUAUCUAGUAGUGUAGGAAUUGAUAAUAAUAAUUAAUUUUAUUAAUUUUAUUCAUUUUUCCUUUCCCUUCUAGCUUGAUAUUUAAAUGCAAAGCACAACUCUUAGCAACGGAUAUCUUGGUUCUC
rnacentral:misc_RNA from 1 species